rnacentral:rRNA from 1 species
UACGGAGGGUGCGAGCGUUGUCCGGAAUCACUGGGCGUAAAGGGCGCGUAGGCGGCGCGGGCAGUCAACGGUGAAAGCUUGGGGCUCAACCCCGAGUCGGCCGUCGAUACUCCCGGGCUUGAGCACUGUAGAGGCAGGUGGAAUUCCGGGUGUAGCGGUGGAAUGCGUAGAGAUCCGGAAGAACACCGGUGGCGAAGGCGGCCUGCUGGGCAGUAGCUGACGCUGAGGAGCGAAAGCGUGGGGAGCGAACAGG